UGAGCGCAGUAAUAGAACAGUGCCUAUUAGUCUAACUGAAAUCACCACACGGCUCACGCAGCGUGCGUUUGUAGCUGCCACGAACGGCAGGGUGUUCGUGAGGGAGAGCUAAAUUCUCAUUCUCUGCUGUAGGACGUGAACGCAGCUUAAAACCCAGAAACCCACCAGGAGCUGGCGAAGCCUGCCGUUUGGAGGUAAGCAGCGAGGCGGAAGGGUUCAUAGAACCCGCGUGAAGCGGCCCGGGCAGGAAAACCAGAGGACUGCGAUUUUUCCAAACGAAACUUUGCCUUUUUUAGACUUUGCAGGUACUGGCUUGAUAAAAGGAGGAGCCCCGCCCUUCUGCAUCCAGUCUUGGCAGACUAGGGAUCAAGGAACAGUGAUGUGAGAGGCGGACUCUGCUUCUCCCACCUCCCUGGGUGCGGUUUUCUAUUUCUGCUGCCCAAACCCCCUUGCUUUAGGGCCCACCAUUCUUUGGGGUUUGUUUGUUAAGUUUUUGUCAUUGCAAGGAGACAGAAAUUUCAGAGACCAGUCAGAAGGCUGUACUUUAGUCUCUAAUAAAUGCCACACCCAACGGA